CACACCUGUGGUUUCUACUGCUGCUUGUGGAGUUAGCUGAAAAACAGGCUGGUGGAAAGGCGACAGAGCAGAAUCUUGAGGUUACUGCCACGUGGGAACAAACCUGGAAUCUCGUCAUGCUCAGGCAGAGUGGUUUUCAUUUCCCCUUCAGACAUGUCCCCCGAAUAGUCACAGAGAAGUCCUACUUCAGACAAUUGAAUCACCUUGGAGGUUGCUAAGAUGGGAAAUGCAGUUUCACAACAGUCACGGAGUGAAAUGGGGAGGGAGAACGCGAAAGAACAUGAACACGUUCCGUCCGGUGGCGCAAUUCCUGCGAAUUUAUCGUGAUCAAUUUGGUCUUCAAAAGAAGAGAGGCAGAAGUCUCAGUCACCAUAGUCACCCGUAAUUUCAACACCCUUCUGUGCAACUGGAUCCCAGACUUCCUGAGUGAAACCCAUGACAAUCCACUUGGGAAACAUCUCCAACAUUAGCACACUGAGCAGUGAUGCCCCCCAAGGCUGUGUGCUCAGCUCAGCUCAUCCAGCUGACUCAUGACUGUGCUGCAAUGGACAGCUGAAACGUCAUCAGUGUUAAGGUAAGGCAUGGAAUGCUUUAUUGUUCUUGAAGGGAAAUUUGUCAUGGACUCCAAACCACUGCAUUCCAUCACAUACACUGCAUUCAACAGAAUAACACCAUACAAUAUACAGACAAUCAUAAGUAAUAAAUGAUAAUACAAUAAUAUACAAUGACCAAUAAUAAACAGCAAUAAAAAGCUAAGAUCUAAGAAAGACAUUAGGUCUUAGUUUCUUUAUUGUUUAUUAUUAGUGCAUCUGAUAGUAUACUUGCCUAUGCCUUCUGGCUUCAGUAUUCAGUAUAGUAACCUUUAGAACAUUUAGUUAAAUGCUGUGUUUUUUGUUUUUGUCUAUAAGAACAGAAAGAGAAAAGGUUUUUAUAUGACUAGUAAAAAUCACAGAGCUGAGUAAACUGGUUAUUCUGUGUAUGAACACCAGAGGGCACCCCAUACACUCGUGAUAUCGAUCGGAAUUUAUUCAGAAGUCGAUAAACAACUGUAGCCAGGGCUGGUCAAUCCAAUAGGCGACAUAUACGGCUACACAGGACGCCAUCUUCUAGGAUAGUCCUGACCUGCCAGUCAGUUUGCCUCAGACAGGGGGCGCUGAUGGUAAUGCUUUCCUCGGGUGCCAUGCUGGCUACUCAAAGUAACUGAUCUCUGCAGGACCCUACACUAUUGUGUGUUGCAGCUGAUCCCCUGGAGGUCUAUUUGCGUUGAGUGUGUGGGGGGGGAUUUUCUACAUUACCCUUCAUUAGGUUUAAGGAUGUGCUGUAAAACUUACUGGAGAUUUGUGGGCUAAAGCACAGAAAUUUAUCUAAACACUGCAUAAUGCACUACAGCCUUCUGAAAAAUUAUGGUUUACCUGUGGGUUCAGUCAAGACUGAGAUUCUGGCUUUUGCUCUCUGCGCACGAUAUAAGUCACCAUGUACAGUCUCAUAAUUUGCAUUCUUAUUGUUGAGCUGAGGCUACACUUGUCUGCAUGAUUAAUGCAGAGAGA